UACGAAGGGGCUAGCGUUGCUCGGAAUCACUGGGCGUAAAGGGUGCGUAGGCGGGUCUUUAAGUCAGGGGUGAAAUCCUGGAGCUCAACUCCAGAACUGCCUUUGAUACUGAAGAUCUUGAGUUCGGGAGAGGUGAGUGGAACUGCGAGUGUAGAGGUGAAAUUCGUAGAUAUUCGCAAGAACACCAGUGGCGAAGGCGGCUCACUGGCCCGAGUACUGACGCUGAGGCACGAAAGCGUGGGGAGCAAACAGGG
rnacentral:rRNA from 1 species